CAAGGUAAUCCAACGUGCGUCUUUAGCGUUGCCAUGGUUUCAUGUGUUUGUUUUCACAGAUCUAUGUAGUCAGUACACUAUUCCAGACCUUCAGCAGCCAGGUAUAUUUAGAGAUUUUUCCAUUAUCUGUUCAGGGGCAUGAAGCGAAGAAGGUUGCUAUUUAUCUGACUUUCCUCUUUUCUUCUUCUUUACUUUUUCCUUUUGUUUCCUUUUUUGCCGGCACAUCAACCAAUGGGAAAGCCUUGAUCUAAAUCCAAUGAAAGCACAACCUUUUAAGAAGACUGUCAUUAUACUUUCAAUUCCAUUAUGUUCUGGAAUGCCAUCCACUGGUCAAUGGCUUGUGGACUGAAAAAUAACCUCCUCGGCUUAUACUCGGGUGAGGGUCCUGGUGGGCUUAUAUUCAGGUAAAAGGUAAAGGUUUUCCCCUGACGUUAAGUCCAGUCAUGUCUGACUCUGGGGGUUGGUGCUCAUCUCCAUUUCUAAGCCGAAGAGUCAGCGUUGUCCACAGACACCUCCAAGGUCAUGGGGCCAGCAUGACUGCAUGGCGCACCGGUACCUUCCCGCCGGAGCGGUACCUAUUGAUCUACUCACAUUGGCAUGUUUUCGAACUGCUAGGUUGGCAGGAGCUGGAGCUAACAAUAAUUGUUAUUAUUAUGAAUACAUUUAUUAUUUUACUCUGUUUAUUAUUACAUUUAUUAUUUUACUGCAUUUAUUAUUAUUAUUACAGUAGAGUCUCACUUAUCCAAGCCUCUGGAUAAUCCAAGCCAUUUUUGUAGUCAAUGUUUUCAAUAUAUUGUGAUAUUUUGGUGCUAAAUUCAUAAAUACAGUAAUUACAACAUAAUAUUACUGCGUAUUGAACUACUUUUUCUGUCAAAUUUGUUGUAUAACAUGAAGUUUUGGUGCUUAAUUUGCAAAAUCAUAACCUAAUUUGAUGUUUAAUAGGCUUUUCCUUAAUCCCUCCUUAUUAUCCAAGAUAUUUGCUUAGCCAAGCUUCUGCCGGCCUGUUUAGCUUGGAUAAGUGAGACUCUACUGUAUUAGAUUUAUUAUUUCACUAUUAUUAAAAGGAUACAUAAGCACAUUUACAUUGAAGAAAAUGAAAAUAAUGAUUUAAUCAGAGUUGAACAGUCAUUACAGUUUGAUGUAAAGAUUCAAAAAAAUUUAAAAUGUAAUUUUAUUGGUGUCUCGGCUUAUACUGGAGUCAAUGUUUUCCCAGUUUUUUGUGGUAAAAUUAGGUGCCUCGGCUUAUAUUCGGGUCGGCUUAUACUCGAGUAUAUAUGGUAACUCUAUUGCAAUAGAGGUCUUCAGGCCCAAGAAUAUCAUAUCAUAUCAUUUCAAAUCAGGUAUAAAACCUAGAGACUAUUCACCGGACCCCUGCCAAGGAAUCCUGUUGCACCCAUUGCUCAUAUUUGACGGGAACGGAGCUAUUUUUAAUGCAACAGUUUAUGUUCUGUCAAGAUUUUUCCCUAGUUCUGCCUUAUGCCUUGAUGGUAAAGAACUUGCAAAUGCUCUUUGGUGACAAAUCUCGCCGGACCGUGAGGCUCCUGCUGGGUGUCUCUCCUCCCCUGCUGCGGCCACCAUUCACUCGGGGAAGUGCAGCCAAAAAAGUCACAAUAAUCUCCUUUGUCUUCAUUAUCGGGAACCUCUGUUCCGACAUUCGUUUUGAUGUAAGGCCAUUUACCUUAACUCUCAACUACAUUUAAUCUCAUUACAUUCACUGUCAUUACUUUAACAUCUUUAUUCCACUUGAAAGACUUUAAAGCUCCGGAGGAUUCCAUCACAGGGAGGGCAGAAUAUGCUUUAUUGAAUAGGGCCCUGUGUAAAUUCCAGAUAUGAUCGCACUAUCCAUUUUGAUGAGCCUGCUGCUACCAGCCCAUCUUAAUAGGGAAUUUAUGGCUCUUAUAUUAAAUGCAGGGAAAGGUUGGUUCUACUCUGUACAAAGGAAAACAAAGCUUAACAAUGUUCAAGAAAUUCUUUUAAUAAACCCUUUAAAAGUAAGUGUUCAGUAGAAGUGAAAGGCAUAAAUAUGCUUCAAAUGGAAUGGCAAUUAAUUAUUACAAAUAAACUUAAAACCUCA